rnacentral:rRNA from 1 species
GAUGAACGCUAGCGGCAGGCUUAACACAUGCAAGUCGAGGGGUAUAGGUAGCUUGCUAUCUAGUGACCGGCGCACGGGUGCGUAACGCGUAUGCAAUCUACCUUUUACAGGGGAAUAGCCCAGAGAAAUUUGGAUUAAUGCCCCAUAGUAUAUUUGAAUGGCAUCAUUUGAUUAUUAAAGAUUUAUCGGUAAAAGAUGAG